rnacentral:rRNA from 1 species
UACAGAGGUCCCCGAGCGUUGUCCGGAAUCAUUGGGCGUAAAGAGCGCGUAGGCGGCUAUCCACGUCGGAUGUGAAAGCUCGGGGCUCAACCCUGAGAGGCCAUUCGAUACGGGGUAGCUAGAGGCAGCUAGGGGAGAAUGGAAUUCCUGGUGUAGCGGUGAAAUGCGCAGAUAUCAGGAGGAACACCGGUGGCGAAGGCGGGUCUCUGGGCCGAUACUGACGCUGAGGAGCGAAAGCGUGGGGAGCGAACAGGAUUAGAUACCC